UACGGGGGGAGCAAGCGUUGUUCGGAUUUACUGGGCGUAAAGGGCGCGUAGGCGGCCACCGCAAGUCGAACGUGAAAUCCCCGGGCUCAACCCGGGAACUGCGUCCGAUACUGGCAGGCUUGAAUCCGGGAGAGGGAUGUGGAAUUCCAGGUGUAGCGGUGAAAUGCGUAGAUAUCUGGAGGAACACCGGUGGCGAAGGCGGCAUCCUGGACCGGUAUUGACGCUGAGGCGCGAAAGCCAGGGGAGCAAACGGG
rnacentral:rRNA from 1 species